GGGGCCGUGGCGUAACAGGAGCGUCCGUGGUUUGCACCCACGGGGUCCGGGUUCGAAUCCCGGCGGUUCCACCA
rnacentral:tRNA from 1 species